GGUUAAGCGACUAAGCGUACACGGUGGAUGCCCUGGCAGUCAGAGGCGAUGAAGGGCGUGCUAAUCUGCGAUAAGCGCCGGUAAGGUGAUAUGAACCGUUAUAACCGGCGAUACCCGAAUGGGGAAACCCAGUGUGACUCGUCACACUAUCAUUAACUGAAUCCAUAGGUUAAUGAGGCGAACCGGGGGAACUGAAACAUCUAAGUACCCGAGGAAAAGAAAUCAACCGAGAUUCCCCCAGUAGCGGCGAGCGAACGGGGAGGAGCCCAGAGCCUGAAUCAGCAUGUGUGUUAGUGGAAGCGUCUGGAAAGGCGCGCGAUACAGGGUGACAGCCCCGUACACAAAAGCGCAUGUGCUGUGAGCUCGAUGAGUAGGGCGGGACACGUGGUAUCCUGUCUGAAUAUGGGGGGACCAUCCUCCAAGGCUAAAUACUCCUGACUGACCGAUAGUGAACCAGUACCGUGAGGGAAAGGCGAAAAGAACCCCGGCGAGGGGAGUGAAAAAGAACCUGAAACCGUGUACGUACAAGCAGUGGGAGCCCCACCACCAAAGCAUUCUCUGGUGUUGAAGGCCCUGCAAAGCAGCAUCGCGGUGGCGGAGCGUCGUUUGCGACGCCCAACACACAAAACAAGCGGUGAAUGCUUUGGGGUGGGGUGACUGCGUACCUUUUGUAUAAUGGGUCAGCGACUUAUAUUCUGUAGCAAGGUUAACCGAAUAGGGGAGCCGGAGGGAAACCGAGUCUUAAUUGGGCGUUAAGUUGCAGGGUAUAGACCCGAAACCCGGUGAUCUAGCCAUGGGCAGGUUGAAGGUUGGGUAACACUAACUGGAGGACCGAACCGACUAAUGUUGAAAAAUUAGCGGAUGACCUGUGGCUGGGGGUGAAAGGCCAAUCAAACCGGGAGAUAGCUGGUUCUCCCCGAAAGCUAUUUAGGUAGCGCCUCGUGAAUUCAUCUCCGGGGGUAGAGCACUGUUUCGGCUAGGGGGCCAUCCCGGCUUACCAACCCGAUGCAAACUGCGAAUACCGGAGAAUGUUAUCACGGGAGACACACGGCGGGUGCUAACGUCCGUCGUGAAGAGGGAAACAACCCAGACCGCCAGCUAAGGUCCCAAAGUCAUGGUUAAGUGGGAAACGAUGUGGGAAGGCCCAGACAGCCAGGAUGUUGGCUUAGAAGCAGCCAUCAUUUAAAGAAAGCGUAAUAGCUCACUGGUCGAGUCGGCCUGCGCGGAAGAUGUAACGGGGCUAAACCAUGCACCGAAGCUGCGGCAGCGACGCUGAUGCGUUGUUGGGUAGGGGAGCGUUCUGUAAGCCUGCGAAGGUGACCUGUGAGGGUUGCUGGAGGUAUCAGAAGUGCGAAUGCUGACAUAAGUAACGAUAAAGCGGGUGAAAAGCCCGCUCGCCGGAAGACCAAGGGUUCCUGUCCAACGUUAAUCGGGGCAGGGUGAGUCGACCCCUAAGGCGAGGCCGAAAGGCGUAGUCGAUGGGAAACGGGUUAAUAUUCCCGUACUUGGUGUUACUGCGAAGGGGGGACGGAGAAGGCUAUGUUGGCCGGGCGACGGUUGUCCCGGUUUAAGCGUGUAGGUGUGUGUUCCAGGUAAAUCCGGUUCACUUUAACACUGAGGCGUGAUGACGAGGCACUACGGUGCUGAAGCAACAAAUGCCCUGCUUCCAGGAAAAGCCUCUAAGCAUCAGGUAACAUCAAAUCGUACCCCAAACCGACACAGGUGGUCAGGUAGAGAAUACCAAGGCGCUUGAGAGAACUCGGGUGAAGGAACUAGGCAAAAUGGUGCCGUAACUUCGGGAGAAGGCACGCUGACACGUAGGUGAAGUGAUUUACUCACGGAGCUGAAGUCAGUCGAAGAUACCAGCUGGCUGCAACUGUUUAUUAAAAACACAGCACUGUGCAAACACGAAAGUGGACGUAUACGGUGUGACGCCUGCCCGGUGCCGGAAGGUUAAUUGAUGGGGUCAGCGCAAGCGAAGCUCCUGAUCGAAGCCCCGGUAAACGGCGGCCGUAACUAUAACGGUCCUAAGGUAGCGAAAUUCCUUGUCGGGUAAGUUCCGACCUGCACGAAUGGCGUAAUGAUGGCCAGGCUGUCUCCACCCGAGACUCAGUGAAAUUGAACUCGCUGUGAAGAUGCAGUGUACCCGCGGCAAGACGGAAAGACCCCGUGAACCUUUACUAUAGCUUGACACUGAACAUUGAGCCUUGAUGUGUAGGAUAGGUGGGAGGCUUUGAAGUGUGGACGCCAGUCUGCAUGGAGCCGACCUUGAAAUACCACCCUUUAAUGUUUGAUGUUCUAACGUGGACCCGUUACCCGGGUUGCGGACAGUGUCUGGUGGGUAGUUUGACUGGGGCGGUCUCCUCCUAAAGUAACGGAGGAGCACGAAGGUUGGCUAAUCCUGGUCGGACAUCAGGAGGUUAGUGCAAUGGCAUAAGCCAGCUUGACUGCGAGCGUGACGGCGCGAGCAGGUGCGAAAGCAGGUCAUAGUGAUCCGGUGGUUCUGAAUGGAAGGGCCAUCGCUCAACGGAUAAAAGGUACUCCGGGGAUAACAGGCUGAUACCGCCCAAGAGUUCAUAUCGACGGCGGUGUUUGGCACCUCGAUGUCGGCUCAUCACAUCCUGGGGCUGAAGUAGGUCCCAAGGGUAUGGCUGUUCGCCAUUUAAAGUGGUACGCGAGCUGGGUUUAGAACGUCGUGAGACAGUUCGGUCCCUAUCUGCCGUGGGCGCUGGAGAACUGAGGGGGCUGCUCCUAGUACGAGAGGACCGGAGUGGACGCAUCACUGGUGUUCGGGUUGUCAUGCCAAUGGCACUGCCCGGUAGCUAAAUGCGGAAGAGAUAAGUGCUGAAAGCAUCUAAGCACGAAACUUGCCCCGAGAUGAGUUCUCCCUGAGACUUAAAGUCUCCUGAAGGAACGUUGAAGACGACGACGUUGAUAGGCCGGGUGUGUAAGCGCAGCGAUGCGUUGAGCUAACCGGUACUAAUGAACCGUGAGGCUUAACCUU
rnacentral:rRNA from 1 species